AGAGUUUGAUCAUGGCUCAGAUUGAACGCUGGCGGCAGGCCUAACACAUGCAAGUCGAGCGGUAGCACAGAAGAGCUUGCUCUUUGGGUGACGAGCGGCGGACGGGUGAGUAAUGUCUGGGAAACUGCCUGAUGGAGGGGGAUAACUACUGGAAACGGUAGCUAAUACCGCAUAACCUCGCAAGAGCAAAGAGGGGGACCUUAGGGCCUCUCGCCAUCAGAUGUGCCCAGAUGGGAUUAGCUAGUAGGUGAGGUAAUGGCUCACCUAGGCGACGAUCCCUAGCUGGUCUGAGAGGAUGACCAGCCACACUGGAACUGAGACACGGUCCAGACUCCUACGGGAGGCAGCAGUGGGGAAUAUUGCACAAUGGGCGCAAGCCUGAUGCAGCCAUGCCGCGUGUGUGAAGAAGGCCUUCGGGUUGUAAAGCACUUUCAGCGGGGAGGAAGGCAGUAAGGUUAAUAACCUUGCUGAUUGACGUUACCCGCAGAAGAAGCACCGGCUAACUCCGUGCCAGCAGCCGCGGUAAUACGGAGGGUGCAAGCGUUAAUCGGAAUGACUGGGCGUAAAGCGCACGCAGGCGGUCUGUUAAGUUGGAUGUGAAAUCCCCGGGCUUAACCUGGGAACUGCAUUCAAAACUGACAGGCUAGAGUCUUGUAGAGGGGGGUAGAAUUCCAGGUGUAGCGGUGAAAUGCGUAGAGAUCUGGAGGAAUACCGGUGGCGAAGGCGGCCCCCUGGACAAAGACUGACGCUCAGGUGCGAAAGCGUGGGGAGCAAACAGGAUUAGAUACCCUGGUAGUCCACGCUGUAAACGAUGUCGAUUUGGAGGUUGUGCCCUUGAGGCGUGGCUUCCGGAGCUAACGCGUUAAAUCGACCGCCUGGGGAGUACGGCCGCAAGGUUAAAACUCAAAUGAAUUGACGGGGGCCCGCACAAGCGGUGGAGCAUGUGGUUUAAUUCGAUGCAACGCGAAGAACCUUACCUACUCUUGACAUCCACAGAAUUCGGCAGAGAUGCCUUAGUGCCUUCGGGAACUGUGAGACAGGUGCUGCAUGGCUGUCGUCAGCUCGUGUUGUGAAAUGUUGGGUUAAGUCCCGCAACGAGCGCAACCCUUAUCCUUUGUUGCCAGCGAUUCGGUCGGGAACUCAAAGGAGACUGCCGGUGAUAAACCGGAGGAAGGUGGGGAUGACGUCAAGUCAUCAUGGCCCUUACGAGUAGGGCUACACACGUGCUACAAUGGCGUAUACAAAGAGAAGCGACCUCGCGAGAGCAAGCGGACCUCAUAAAGUACGUCGUAGUCCGGAUUGGAGUCUGCAACUCGACUCCAUGAAGUCGGAAUCGCUAGUAAUCGUAGAUCAGAAUGCUACGGUGAAUACGUUCCCGGGCCUUGUACACACCGCCCGUCACACCAUGGGAGUGGGUUGCAAAAGAAGUAGGUAGCUUAACCUUCGGGAGGGCGCUUACCACUUUGUGAUUCAUGACUGGGGUGAAGUCGUAACAAGGUAACCGUAGGGGAACCUGCGGUUGGAUCACCU
rnacentral:rRNA from 2 species